UACAGAGGUCUCAAGCGUUUGUUCGGAUUCAUUGGGCGUAAAGGGUGCGUAGGUGGCGCGCUAAGUCAGGUGUGAAAUUUCGGAGCUUAACUCCGAAACUGCAUUUGAUACUGGCGUGCUUGAGGACUGGAGAGGAGACUGGAAUUCAUGGUGUAGCAGUGAAAUGCGUAGAGAUCAUGAGGAAGACCAGUGGCGAAGGCGGGUCUCUGGACAGUUCCUGACACUGAGGCACGAAGGCUAGGGGAGCAAACGGG
rnacentral:rRNA from 1 species